rnacentral:rRNA from 1 species
CACGUAGGGCGCAAGCGUUGUCCGGAAUUAUUGGGCGUAAAGAGCUCGUAGGCGGUCUGUUGCGUCCGCUGUGAAAACUCGGGGCUUAACCCCGAGCCUGCAGUGGAUACGGGCAGACUAGAGGUAGGUAGGGGAGAAUGGAAUUCCCGGUGUAGCGGUGAAAUGCGCAGAUAUCGGGAGGAACACCAGUGGCGAAGGCGAUCACCUGGGUGUUCGUGACGCCUGGAGGAGCGAAAGCUAGGGGAGCAAACGGG